GGAAGUAGAGAAUCAAGAGAAUUGGUUCUAGGAACCUGGGUUCGGUUUUUGUUGUUGUUUGUUUGUUUACUUUUUAAAAAUACAUAAAUAAAUAAAUCUAUCUAUAUAUAUAUAUAUGAAUGUUCUGCAACAAACACUAUGACAGUAUCCUUCAGUAGAGAAAGUUUCUUAUUGGUGAGUACACUCAUUUAGAAUAUGUAUGGGAUGGAAACAGCUUUGUUUGGGGGGCUCGAAAAGACCAGAAGGUGCAAUCCCUUUUCAUGUCUAAAGUGAAAGAUUUAAUGCAGUGAACUGCCUGCAGUGAGGUACUAACUGAGAAACUUUUUCAUGCUUUAUGCCUACCUCUUGUAGUCGUUGCAGAGGAAAUAUAAACUGUAAUAUGGUAGCUAGGCCUUGCAAAAACAAAUGGAAAAACUUUAAAAAUAAUAAUAACAAAAGAGCUGGAGUCUAGUAUUUAUAUGAAUCUGUGAGAAAUAUUUUUUCCGUCUCACCGCAACGAACCAAAAGUGGUUGAGUUUGGUUUUUAAUUGUAGCCAUGUCUUGAAGGCAUCUUUUUGACCAACUCUUGUUGGUUCUGUCUUGAACCAUUGUUAAUCACUGUGCUGGUAAGUCUUUCCUUCCCUGCUCCUCACCUGACCCAUCCCAUCUUUCCUUAACUUUUUGCAGGGGGUGGGGUGGGGGGGUUGUUUUAGUGUGAAUGGAUGUUUUGAUAGUUGUGAGGAAAAAUGCAUUUCAGACACAUUUCACACAUGAGCUAUUUUCUUACACGGUCUGUCUUAUUGUUAAAAAAGAAUGUAAUUUCAUGAUACAGGUAUUUAAUAUCUUUUUUAAGUAAAUAAAUAUUCUAGCCAUCAAUAAACAAAUCGCAGUAGAGUAUUGAGAGGGGACAGGAUGAGUUUUACUCUUAAAAUUAAUCAGUAUCCAACUAAGUCUAUGUGUGUGUGUAUGUGUGUGUGUGUUUUGUUUUGUUUUGUUUUUUAAUUUACUAUUACUGUUAGUCUAGUCUUAUUUAAGUUGGAUUUUUGUAUUCCAGUUUGUAUGACAAAAUAGACUAGAGCAGUUCUGGUUGUAAAGGCAUGCUGUAUUUCACUCUUCUCUCCCCAGGAUGCCGCUAAACUCGCUUGUCAGGUUGUGCUUAACUUGUGGUGAGCUGGACUUGUUUUUGUUUAAAAGAAAAAAAAGGAAUAGGCAGAAAUGUAAGGGACAGUGCAUAAGCCUUUCAUUUUUCUUUCUUUUUUUUUUUUUGUAGUGGACGUUUUGCUCUUUCUUCAGGAUUGGAUGGCAUGUUGUCCAUAUGAAUGCCUGCUGCAGGGCUGACACUGGCAAUAUGGCAGCUUCAAACUCUUAAGUUACUGCAAUUUCCAUGUCAAAGCAUAAUGUGUCACAUAUUAGCAAUAACUACAUAUUUAUAAAAAAUGGACACUUUUUCACUGAGCCAAUUUCAUUUAAUUGUCUAAUGAGUAUAUACAUGGUUUAAAUUGCAGUGUAUCUGUAAAUGUGUGUAUACUGAGUGUACACAGUAUAUACAAGCUUUCUCUGGGCCAAACUGUUUCAUUCAGUUUUUCCGUUUUCUUUUUUUUUUUUUUUUUGCCUUAUGAUGAAUUUGUUUGAAGGGCAUUUUCUUCUUGAACAAAGGCUUUGAUGCAUAUUCCUUUCUACGUGAAACGGGGGUAGUAUUGUUCCCUGAGGAAAGUUGCAUAGCGAAAACCAGUCUAGUUGUGACCCACUCUGUUUAUUUUUUUAAGUCAGUAUCAUGCAAGCUGAAUUUUGCUGACCGUGUUUGUAAUUUGUUGGUUUGUUUAACGAAGUUUGGUUGAUGCCAUCCUUUGCACUGCUGAAGUGAAAUCUUGCUUAUUCCUUAGCUUUUUGCUGAUCUCGGUAUGGGCAGUGUAACAAAACCCAAAUGGCUGGACAGACUUCUUGUGUUUGUAAAUAUAAAAAAUGACUGUUCUGUAUAUGUGUGUUUUUAAUGUGGUAGUGGAGUAUUUCCUUCCAGUGAAGCUUCACUUAACCAGACAGAGUGACUCUUUGUUUAGCAAGUUUAGAGCAAUGAUAAAAUGGCAAGAAAUAAUAUAAAUGUUAUUAUAAUGAUGAAGAAGGCAUCACAGCAGAACUGUAGGAGUCCAAAUUUAAUAGACUGUCUAAAAAAAAAGCACCAAGUGUCUAGAAUAUACCAUGUUUAUUAUUUAAAAUCAUUGUCUUAAGUUUUUUGUUCAAAAAAUAAAAAUUUGAAUACAAUC
ensembl:lncRNA